GUUGGUAUCGGAGGGGUUAAUUUUUAAAAGAGUUUAACGCAGCGGAUUAAAAUACAGAGAGCGUACAGCGUAUCAAGUCACAGUUGAAACAAUUUUGCCUUUUUAAUUUUAAACAAUUUUCUUUUAGAAAAUUUACCAAGCAGAUAACGUGCGUAAAUAAUAAAAUGAGUAUAGGGCAAAAGAAAAUCACACAGGGAUUUUUAUACUGGUUCGAUUCAACAGAAUCUACGUCCAGUCGUUAAUCACUACAAAGAGUGAUUAACAGUUCCACUAAAAAUUGUUUAACAGAUUACAAGAUAAUAAACAGUAAU
rnacentral:lncRNA from 1 species